rnacentral:miRNA from 16 species
ACAGCCACUGUACACACUCCCGUA